UACGAGGGGGGCGAGCGUUGUUCGGAAUUAUUGGGCGUAAAGGGUGCGUAGGCGGCCAACUAAGUCGGACGUGAAAUCCCUCGGCUCAACCGGGGAACUGCGUCCGAUACUGGAUGGCUUGAAUCCGGGAGAGGGAUGCGGAAUUCCAGGUGUAGCGGUGAAAUGCGUAGAGAUCUGGAGGAACACCGAUGGCGAAGGCAGCCUUCUGGGCCAACACUGACGCUCAUGCACGAAAGCGUGGGGAGCGAACAGG
rnacentral:rRNA from 1 species